rnacentral:rRNA from 1 species
GACAGAGGUGCCAAGCGUUAGGCGGAAUCACUGGGCUUAAAGCGUGUGUAGGCGGAUUCCUAAGUACCUUGUGAAAUCCCACGGCUCAACCGUGGAACUGCUCGGUAUACUGGGUAUCUUGAGCCACUUAGGGGCGACCGGAACAAAUGGUGGAGCGGUGAAAUGCGCAAAUAUCAUUUGGAACGCCAAUGGUGAAAACAGGUCGCUGGGAGUGUGCUGACGCUGAGACACGAAAGCCAGGGGAGCAAACGGG